UUACUUAUUAUUCAUUUUUCCAUUAAAUGGAUCUUUUUGGGGCGUCGAACUUAACAGCUGACCAAUCAGAUCAGCACCAGGAAUAUGCGUUUUAGUUGUCCCAUAAAUGCAAAUGCUUACCUACGUUUAUUCUGUUGUUUUUGUAGCAACAAUAUUCAAGGGGUGGAGCUUAGCAGAAGAUCCACUGAGCUACUAAACUUAAGCUCUGUAUCCACUCCCUCAAUUUUUCUUUGACGUAAAAUGGUUGUAUGCCCAUAUAUAUAUAGUCAUGAUGUGCCUAUAUAUGGUCAUGAUGUGAUGUCAUCAUGACCAUAUUUAGGGAUGUCACAUGUUUUUGUCAAUAGAAUUUUAGUCUGACAGGGCUUAAUGUUCUGUUUACACUAUUAAUUUUUCUUUGACAAAAGGUGUAUGCCCAUAUAUAGUAAUGAUGUGCCUAUAUAUGGUCAUGAUGUGAUGUCAUCAUGACCAUAUUUAGGGAUGUCACAUGUUUUUGUCAAAUAAAAUUUGAUAGUCUUGUCAUGGCUUAAGAUAUCAGUUAAUUGCUUAUUAAACCAUACAUAAUGAAUCACAUAUUUAUACCAUACAUUUACUGAAGAAUAUUUAUAGUUCUCUCGUGUUCACCUGUAAUGUUAAUGCAGCAGAUAAACAUAAAACAAAUGUAAUAACAGUCCACUACUAACAAUAUAUAAAUGUUAGGCUCUUAAUAUUUUUGUUUGCUGUUUCUCUUAAGUUAUGUUGCUCUAUGAAGUAGUUUUAAUAAUUCUUCUAAACAUUAUUUGCUCUCAAGUUUUUCUUGUUGUUAGCCAUUGUUUUAAAAUAUUGUAUUCAUAUUUUCAUGAGAGUUGUACCUGCGAAAACUUAGUACCCAAUGAUGAAUAAUAAAAACCGAUAUUUCAAUUAGUUACCAAAGAAUUGCUCACAGUAGCUUGUAUUUUUUCACAUAAUGCAUUAACCAUUUAAAUACCUCUUUAAGUUUAUAUCCAGAAUUUCUCUCUAAGAUUUAUUGUUUUGAAUCAUUAUUGGUAUUAAUUGUAAUUAUUACCUCAUUGUUAAUAUUUCAUAUCUUAUAGAUGCUGAAUUUAUUUGCCUUCCCGUAUAUAACACUUCCCAAAUUUAUUUAAAGUCAAAUUAUAGGUGAUGUUGGCCGAUUUUUGGGGUUUUACCAGGUCUUGUUCUCGUACUUUUCCUUAAAAAGUCCAUGGGUUGCUUAAUAAGUAGAUACAUGUAACCAAUGUAGCCAAAGCAUUGGAUAAGCGUUAGUACAACCAUGGUACAACGAGGGAUGUAACUGAAAAAGCGCCCUCAUAAGGCAUGUCAUUGCAAAAAUUCAGUAGUAGCUGCUGGUUUGUUUUUUUUUUUUCUUUUCCUAAUUUCGUUCUGGACAUAAAACUGUUGUUGAAGUUUGUGUCUAUGUAUUAAUUGAAUCAAAUGUUUCCCACAAAAGCAACUAAAACUGUUGUCAUCCCUACUAUUGUUGCUAAAGAAUUAUCUAAUACUAUUAAUAUUUCUGUUGUCAUUGUGAUACAGUUUGCUUUGGAAAUAUAUGUUGCCAUAGUGACUUGUUGCUAUGGAUAUAUAUGUAUCUAUGGACAUUAUAUUUUAAUUGUUUUUAUUUACAUAAAUUAUUCAGGGUAUUUAAAUCAUUGGAAGCAACAAUUCCAAUUCAUAUUUGUUAAUAUAUGUUUGUGAUUUUCAUAUUUAAUAUUCAAACCACUUACUUUUCUUGGCCUAAGGUUAAAGGGUUAGUUUCAUAGGAAAACGUGUACAUAUAGCAUAUACAGCCAUAUAUUUACCAGGUGAUAUGUAACAUGUGAUAUCCCAAAUGUAUAGCAACUACCCUGGACUUGCGGGGUUAUGUUAAAUUCAUCUACAUUUUGUACAAAGCUAUAUUCCAAUGUAACUAACGAUCAGUAUAUGUUAACCAAUCUUUUAAUUUCCCAACAAAAGUUUUAUUACUAAACUCUGUUACCAAUUCGUUAUCAUUUCUGAGGAGAGAUGAGUGAGAAAGUACAGAUCCAUUAAAUGCAUUUUACACUACGA
rnacentral:lncRNA from 1 species